rnacentral:rRNA from 1 species
GACGAACGCUGGCGGCGUGCUUAACACAUGCAAGUCGAACGGAAAGGCCCUGCUUUUGUGGGGUGCUCGAGUGGCGAACGGGUGAGUAACACGUGAGUAACCUGCCCUUGACUUUGGGAUAACUUCAGGAGACUGGGGCUAAUACCGGAUAGGAGCUCCUGCUGCAUGGUGGGGGUUGGAAAGUUUCGGCGGUUGGGGAUGGACUCGCGGCUUAUCAGCUUGUUGGGGGGGUAGUGGCUUACCAAGGCUUUGACGGGUAGCCGGCCUGAGAGGGUGACCGGCCACAUUGGGACUGAGAUACGGCCCAGACUCCUACGGGAGGCAGCAGUGGGGAAUAUUGCACAAUGGGCGGAAGCCUGAUGCAGCAACGCCGCGUGCGGGAUGACGGCCUUCGGGUUGUAAACCGCUUUCGCCUGUGACGAAGCGUGAGUGACGGUAAUGGGUAAAGAAGCACCGGCUAACUACGUG